GACCACAUGUGGGUCACAUGAGGAAAGUAAGCAUUUGAACACUCUGCGGUUUUGCAAGCUCUCCCACCUAGAAAUCAUGGAGGGGUCUGAAAUUUUCAUCUUAGGUGCAUGUCCACUGUGAGAGACAUAAUCUAAAAAAAAAAAAUUCCGGAAAUCACAAUGUAUGAUUUUUUUUAUUAAU